CGGAAGCGGCGCUUGCUGUCUGGGUAACGGUGUCUUCAGCGGAGCGGCGAUGGAAGUGGAGGAGGUGAAAGCGUUCAGAGACCGCUGUUCUCAGUGUGCUGCUGUCUCCUGGGGCCUUACCGAUGAAGGCAAAUAUUACUGUACUUCCUGCCACAAUGUCACAGAUGGAAGGAUUUGCUGGAAGUGCAGAGCCAAGAAGGAAUAAGCACUGCUUUCAGCACUUACUCAGAAGGGCCAGCUGGGGUGG